CAGCUUCUCAAAAUAUUUGCCUGAAAUCCAGAAAUGGCUCUCAAUCAAUAGGGGAGUGCUUUUAGGCAUCCAAAGCAAUAAAUAUAUCAUUAAAAUAGAGAAGCUAAAAUACUUAAAAUAAAAAAUUACUCAUAACCACCAGAAGAAUUUUGUCAGGAACAAAAGCCAGCAAUUGCAUUUGUUGAAACAGAAAAGAGUCAAAACCCCAAAUUUCUAGAAAAAUCCUAAAUGCUUCAAAUAUCAACCGACAAUUCAGUGGAUUGCAACAAAGACACCAAGUUAAGGUCGGGG
rnacentral:misc_RNA from 1 species